rnacentral:rRNA from 1 species
AUUGAACGCUGGCGGCAGGCCUAACACAUGCAAGUCGAGCGGAUGAAGGGAGCUUGCUUCUGGAUUCAGCGGCGGACGGGUGAGUAAUGCCUAGGAAUCUGCCUGGUAGUGGGGGAUAACGUCCGGAAACGGGCGCUAAUACCGCAUACGACCUGAGGGAGAAAGUGGGGGAUCUUCGGACCUCACGCUAUCAGAUGAGCCUAGGUCGGAUUAGCUAGUUGGUGGGGUAAAGGCCUACCAAGGCGACGAUCCGUAACUGGUCUGAGAGGAUGAUCAGUCACACUGGAACUGAGACACGGUCCAGACUCCUACGGGAGGCAGCAGUGGGGAAUAUUGGACAAUGGGCGAAAGCCUGAUCCAGCCAUGCCGCGUGUGUGAAGAAGGUCUUCGGAUUGUAAAGCACUUUAAGUUGGGAGGAAGGGCAGUAAGUUAAUACCUUGCUGUUUUGACGUUACCAACAGAAUAAGCACCGGCUAACUUCGUG